rnacentral:tRNA from 1 species
GACUUCAUAGCUCAGUGGUAGACCGUUUGCACCGGAAUCGCAAAGUCAUGGGUUCGAAUCUCGUUGGAGCCU